AUGGCGUGGUGGAUACGGAUAUGGAUUAUAACUCAAAUGACGCGGGUUCAAGUCCAACA
rnacentral:tRNA from 1 species